UGGGGAAUCUUGCACAAUGGAGGAAACUAUGAUGCAGCGAUGCCGCGUGAGUGAAGAAGGCCUUUGGGUGGAAAAGCUCUUUCGUCGGGGAAGAAAAUGACUGUACCSGAAUAAGAAGGUCCGGCUAACUUCGUGCCAGCAGCCGCGGUAAUACGAAGGGACCUAGCGUAGUUCGGAAUUACUGGGCUUAAAGAGUUCGUAGGUGGUUGAAAAAGUUGGUGGUGAAAUCCCAGAGCUUAACUCUGGAACUGCCAUCAAAACUUUUCAGCUAGAGUWUAAAAGAGGAAAGCAGAAUUUGUAGUGUAGAGGUGAAAUUCGUAGAUAUUAGAAAGAAUACCAAUUGCGAAGGCAGCUUUCUGGAUCAUUACUGACACUGAGGAACGAAAGCAUGGGUAGCGAAGAGGAUUAGAUACCCUGGUAGUCCAUGCCGUAAACGAUGUGUGUUAGACGUUGGAAAU
rnacentral:rRNA from 1 species